rnacentral:rRNA from 1 species
GUAGGAGGCGAGCGUUGUCCGGAUUUACUGGGCGUAAAGGGCGCGCAGGCGGCCGUGCAAGUACCGUGUGAAAUCCACCUGCUCAACGGGUGGGGUGCUAGGUAGACUGCAUGGCUAGAGGACGGUAGAGGGGGGUGGAAUUGCUGGUGUAGCGGUGAAAUGCGUAGAGAUCAGCAGGAACACCCGUGGCGAAGGCGGCCCCCUGGGCCGUACCUGACGCUGAGGCGCGAAGGCUAGGGGAGCGAACGGGAUUAGAUACCCCGGUAGUCCUAGCAGUAAACGAUGGCCACUAGGUGUGGGGGGUGUUGACCCCUUCCGUGCCGAAGCCAACGCAUUAAGUGGCCCGCCUGGGGAGUACGGUCGCAAGACUAAA